CGGCCGGGAGAGUGUUUUAUAAGUUGAAAAACACUAGAAAAAUAAUAUUAGCUAUUAUAAUUGGUCCACUCAACUUCCUCAGAUGGAGUUCGCCCCAAGCAAAACAAAUUUCCCUCAACUCCACCCCAUAAACUGCAAGUCCCCAUAACUGCCCCUCCUCUUCUCCUCCUUUCCAGGCUCACCCAAACUUGGCUUCCUCUGCCUGUCCCAGGCACAGGCCUGGCAGGAAGUGACCAGCCUCCCAUUAGCUCUUGCCACAGGUCUGGGAGAGUUCACAGGCUGCUGAGCUGAGAUAAGAGGACCGGCAGGAACUGAGGGUUUCCUCACCCUAGAAAAGCACCUCCUCCUACUACUCCUUUGCCCUCCAGACUCAAGGCAGGAAGAGAAACCUGGGGAAGGGGCCUCAGAGGAGAGGCCUCCAUCAUGUGUUCAUUCUGACUGGUCAGUGGGUGCCACACUGUUUGAAUGUCACCCUUGCCGCAAAGGAAGAGCCUCUUUGCAUGGCUCUCCCCACCUCCUCCACCUGCUCCAAAUGUCUCCCACACCAGGUCCCAGGGGACCUUGCAUUUGCUUCCAGGGUUUGGGGGAAGUGAAAGGGGUAUUUGGAGGGAGGGGGUUGAGGGGACCAGGUGACACUGGCACACAUUUCUUGUGUGGUGGACAUCCCCAAAAUGUCAUUUGGCUCUUUGCUUGUUCCAACCCAUAUUUCAUUUCCAGGGUACCUGCUCUGUACCACUUAGCUGGAUACCACAAUGGAGAAAUAUCUUCCCUUCGUUCAGAAGGCACCUUCAGAACAGGGGCAUGUCCAGGCGGACACACAGUCCAGCGUAGGGAGAAGUAUCUCAGAGAUCUUUCCCAAAGGAGGGCACAGAAGUUAUCAGGUGCCCAGAGAUGGAAGCCACCCUGACUGGGGAUGAGCAGUUACUUCACCAACUCAAACUGGCUUAGACGGUCAGUGCUACCACCUGGCAUGUCAACAAAGGAUGGAGGAAGUGCAGUGCUGCUCCCCGCAAUGAUAUGAGCUGCAAUGGUGUCCUUUGGGCUGAUUUCCUCUCUCCACCCACGUCCGAAGUUUUGGGGCGUCUCUUUAGAGUUCUUUCUCUCUAGCCACAAGUCCUGCAGGCCAUUGGAAGACUAGGCUGCAGAAAGCUCAAACUGUUCCUUCCAUUUUGGGACCAGGGAACAGAGCUCACUUAAUGCUGCUCUCCCACUGAUGAUGCCCACCCAUUCUCGGCCUGCAAGCCCUACCACUCACAGCUUCAAAAAUGGCUCCGCCCUUCCUGAUUCCACCCCACACAGAAGAAAGCAACUUCUUGUGAUGCUUCCUUAUUCUGGAUGUGGCUCACCUCUUACCCCUUCCAACUCCUUUGGGUCCCCUAGAAAGCCUCCCUGGCUAAGGGGUACAGGCCCUCUCCUCAGCAGUGGGCACUGACCGUCUAACCAGGGCUCUGUCUCGGCACCUGGUAGCAAGGACGGCAAGAUACAACAACAUGCUGAUUUUAAUAGCCUCUGGCUUUCUCCACUGCGUUUCUCACCUGAAUGCCCUGCACACCAAAUCUUCCAUGGGGUCACCCUUGACCUCUAGGGCAAUUCCCAAGAAUCUAGCAGAGGAGUGGGGGAAACCAAAAGGCUGACAUGAAGGACUCAAGGGAAGCCUCUGGAAAGAAGAGACCAGACACUAAAAGGGAUGUGUGUGAAAUACUGGUUUUUAUUGGUUGGCACAAGAUUACAACCUACAAUUUCAAUGCCCUUCCCUCCCACACAGCUCAAAUGGAAGGAAACUGAUUAACACAUAGAAAGGAACGGCAGGCUCACAGGUUUAAGCAUUUGUUUUUACAAAAAGGAGUGGGAUAUGGGGGUGGUCAAGUUUUACGGGUAAUAACAACAUUCUCUCUAGAUGGCAGGGGGUAAGUCUGCCUGUCCUCCAUUGCUGGUACCACAUAAGGGAUACAUUAGUAAAGUAGGGAAAGGGUUAUAUGUGUGGCUGGCCUGUUCUUUAGAGAGGAAGGUGGGAUGGUAUCUGCUGUGUACCUGUCUCAGACCAAACCUGGGGCUGGACCAGUGCCCCUUUCUUCUCAGCCCUCCUCCACAGCCUGACUGUACUGCCAGCCGCACCCAUGAGAAGGAGGUGUGAAGGAAGCCUGAGGACAUCCACCUCGAGAAAAGGAAACAGGAAAACUAUUUCCUUCCGCCUUCUCUGGACCAAAUUUCACUCCCCUCAGCUCCAGAGAGUGCUGCAAAAAUCUUCCUUAGGGACGCUGUGAAGACACGGGGAAGAGGCCAGCCCUGAGCGGGCAAGAAGAAAAGCUUGAACUUUCCAUGCAGUACCAAGCAAGGCUAUUUUGGAAACAAGCAAACAAACAAAAAAUGGAAACCAACACCAUAUAACCACAGGUUGGGUAGCUCCUAAAUCCUGGACAGCAUUUGGAUUGGGGGUAAGGGCAAUUUUACUCCAGCUCCUUGUUUUAUAACCCGCACAAGGUGCCAAGAGGUUUAAGGACCACAACUGACCUCUCUUUCCCUACAAGCACCAUUCCUUGGAUUCCCAGUUUUGUUGAGCUCAUUUGAGGUCAUCCUUGCCAUCCUCUUAAAAAAUGACACAGCCUCUUGGUUAUUCCAUUUUCUAUCCCUUUCUACAAUUAUGAACACACUCUCUAAACAGGAGAUCUAUAUAUGCUCUCAUCCUGCAACCCAAGAGAUUAGGUGACCUAAUGAUGAGAAGGCUAACUUAUUUGCUUUCCUGGGUGGUCCUGAUGGAAAUGAACAGCAGCAGAGUUCUGGUGGGAUAGAGCAGUCUAGUCUGAGCCACUGUGUGAUUCCCCAGGGGACUGGUCCCUGGGUACAUGGGUCCCUGGCUCUCUGUCUCAGUUCCACAGAUAUUACUCAACUUGGCCAUUUACGCCUCAGCUAAAACAUAUGAGCAUGAGGGAAAAGGGACAAGAAAUACUUUUGUCCUCUAGAAAAACUUAACUCAAUACAUCUUGGCUACUUUGCCUCAACCCACGGGGUUCCCUGGAAACAUUUGUUGAACUUGGCCAAGAGGAGAUUGUAUAUGGAUGGCACACCUGGAAAAGGGGAGAAAGCACACUAGUUCAUCUCUUUUAUAAGUAGAAUGGUCCCAGGGAUGUUAACCUUUCUGAUGCUGAUAGUAGAUGAGUGGAGUGGAGGUAAUCGUGAGAAAACUUAAAAACCCUUAAGCUGUUUGGAGACUACACACCACAGUGGAGCAAACCAAGGUGGGGCCUCACUGCCUCCUCAGAGCCCAUCCCUGACCAUGUCAUUGGAUAGGAUGGAAGACAAAGUCUUUGAAAUGGAGGCUGGGCUGGCAAAAGUAAGUAUGAAGAUGCUACUACUGGCCUUCCACUUCCUCUCUCUGAUACACCUAAGAAGGUGAGAGACACUAGCUUCAAUUCCAUUUUACAACAGUUCUCAACAACCUGAAAUAUUCUUGACUUCCUUAAGCACAUGGAAAACUGGUAAGCUAUAUCUUUCUAACUGAAAUUUUACUUAUUCUAACCACCAACCUUUUCUUUGAUUAUCAACCAGUUUGACAGUCUUCAGAUCACAAAACAAUAGAACAGACCUGACAUUUACAAAACUGUACUACAUACUUAUUUCUUUUACAGUAGAGCUGACCAAUUACUUUUCUAACUACUAAUGCAACACCAUGCCACUGGGCCCUGGACUCUGAUGUUUCUGAUCCCUGAGCAACACAUCUAUGUCCAUUCACAGAUGGAAAUGAAAGAGUGAGAUUCUCAGAGGCUAAACAACAUUCUGGGAGCAAAUUGGAUUUUUGAAGGGAGAGUCCUCUUAGAAAAUUCUGAGCAAACAUGCUCCCAGUCACGAGGGAUGGGGUGAGCGGGCAGGUUUCUGUCUGUGAGCUAUAGCUCCCUUCUGAACUCCCUCAUGUUCUUGGGAGGACACAAGCCUCUUGCUCAUUAAGCAAAGGCCCUCCAAGUCUCCUUUUUACUUCAGCACUUUGGAAACUCUCCAAGACUUAACUUCCGAUCUGGGGAGGUUCUACGUGGAGCAGACCUAUCCCUUCUUAUUCCUGUUCCUGGGUGUCUCCAUAAUCAGCCUCUACCUUCCCUGGCAUAAGUCAUAUCUGUUAUGCUGCAGGAACUGAGUAACCAAAGCUAGAUAUCCCUUGGACCACUGAUUAGUGACACAUUUUCUCCACAACAAAGGGAGGUUAAAGACAAAGGUUUAACCUGAGAAACUUUUUUUUUGGCAAGAUAAUAAAGAGGUUAAAGAGGCUACGUGGAUCUGUCACUGCUUUAGCUUACCAUUUUCAAUUCAGCACCAAAGUGCUCAGAAAGACAGGCUCAGAUCAGGACGACUUCUUAAAGGGAUUCACAGGCAAUAUUACUGGCAAAAUGAUUUUCCAAAGCUGAGCCACGCGCCCCACCCUACAGGGAGGGGAGUAGAAUCUUAUGGCCCAGCAUUGGCAUUGAGG
rnacentral:lncRNA from 1 species